rnacentral:lncRNA from 1 species
UGCGUGCGUCUUGCGCGCGCUUACAUGCCGGUUUGUAUGGGCCGGCGUGCUUGCGUGUGUCUAGUGCGUACGUGUUUUGUGAGCGUGUUUGUGUGGGUCACUGUGUGUGCGUGCGCGUGUUAGCGUGUCUGCCUGCAUGUAUGUGCGAUUGUUUGUGUUUAUCAAUGUGCGCGUGCGUGCCUUUGUGUCUGCGCUUUGAGAGUGCGUAUAUUUGUGUGCGCGCGAGUGCGUUUUGUGUGCGUGCGUAUGUAUUGCAUAAGGCCGGUAGAGUUUUACUCGCAAUAAAACUCUUCCAAUUUGGUGCAGCGAGUGUUGCCGCCUGAAAGCCGAGUUUGGUUUCAAGCCAACCUGGACAACUGCUGUAUGAGGCGCUGUUUCUCAGGAGGAUCAGUGGGAAGGCGUCAGGUCAUGCAGAUGAUAGCAUCAAUUUCACAAUGCCCAGCCUUGGUGCCCUCCAUUAAGAGCAAGCCACUUGCAUUCACCUUCAGGCAGAUGGUUGAUGUCUUCUAGGAAGCAGUUGGGAAGACUACAUUGAUGCAAGAUUCCAGCAAUGCCAUGCGCUGCAUUUAUUGGUCAAGAUGCUCAGAGAAUGGAGUCCCUGCACCUCGUGGUGAAACGUGAACAUUUUCUUUCUUUUGGAAAGCUAAACGUCAUUUGCUGUAUCAAUUGCAUUCUUGCAGCUCAGAUGUGUACUAUAUUUUUUCUAAUUUUGAAUCAAUUAAUAUUCACUGUUCAGUAUAAAAAUGACGUACAGUGUGAAGGACAAGGACUGCGAGAGAUGACAUACACUGCGCUGACUUCCAACAAUAUUUUAUUGCGUUGCCACAUCGUGUGUUUAUACACAAGAAGGGCCAUGCGCAGAAAAUGAAAGGCAGUCACAAGGGGUGUUCUAACAGCAAGUCAUUGUACUAAGAACAUGGUCACUAAAAAAAAAUCACAAUUUCUAUCUGUGGAGAUACAAGACUUCACUAGGGGUCAGCGUGAUAGAGGGGGCACUAAUGCACACACUACCCAUUUUUCUGGUGAAAUAAGCUUCAAUAAUGUACCGGGUGAGCUGUGUUUCGCUAGAACUUGCGUAUCUUCAAAGGGGGGCAUGCAGCGGCAGUCCCGGCAAUGAAUGCCCAAGUGGCCUUGAACAGUGUUAUGGACGUUAUAGUGCACUCUUAAACGAUCAUUUAGGCACCUGCCUGUCCGUCCAAUAAAUUUACUGCUUCAAAACGGGAAUAUGGUAAACCACAUUCGUUACACAUAUCGCAAAACGUUUUCUGUGCCCGACAGAGCAAGAACUCUGACACGAUUUAGGCGCGUUUACACGCUUACAGAGCUUUGCCAGCUUUUCCGGGGCUGAGAAAAGGACUGGGAUUCCUGGAGGUUGCCAAAUCUUUUUUUAGCCUAUGGGAGACAUCAUGCACAUACGGUAGCACUGCGAACCAGUCUUUCAACCGGCUGGUUCCUUGACUGAGUGCGCUCAUCACGUUUUGUGCCCUUCAGAAGCUGUUCCACUAUGGCUGAAAUUAGGGCCAAAGGGUAGCCAACCCAAGAAAGGCGAUCGACCU